CAGAAUAACAUGUAGUUCCUACCUGAUUUUCAUGUAUUGCUUUAUUAGUAAAAAAAAAAAAAAGUAAGCUUGUUUCACUUUCUCAAUCAAUAUGCAUCUCAUAACGUUCCUUAUGUAGGGUCCUUCAUGUCUAUUUGAGUUUGACAACACUGCUCUAGGCAAUUCUGAAAAGCCUGAAGUGGAAGAUUCUGUGGCAAACUGCAUUGAAAAAGAAUAAUGUGCUUGUAUACUGCCACCUGGUGGUGCAAUACAUAUAGGAGCAGUGGGUCAAAUAAAUGGACGCCUGACAAUCUCGGCUUCUUCCAAAAGCAAGCUAGCGUGUCUAAAUCAGAUGUAUGACCUGCCUGAACAUCACACCUGCUUCCACGAAACCCAGCAUAAACACUGCCCUGGUAAAACACUAUUACACGACUUCAAUGUGAUUUGGAGGUGACCUGAGUUCAUGAAAGUUACACGCCAGUAGAAAGCAAGUUCUGAUAGUCAACUGCACAGACUUUACCAGGUGCCUAGGAUACAUGAUGCUGAGGAUACAAAGACUCAAACAAAACAUUCCCUUGUCCUCAAGAGGAUUACCUUCUUCUGAAAGAUGUUACAUUUAUAUGUAACUUUUUUUUUUUUUUUUUACUAACCCAUCCAGAGAUCAGUUUGCUUUGUGUCUGCCAAUUGAGAAUCAAGCUAACUAAAUGUUAAAAGAUUCAUCAUCACCAUAAAGUCUGGCUAGUACUAGUUAAUCCAGGCAUUAUUUUUUUCCUCUUGCAUCAGGGAUUUAAUCAAGGCAGUAAAUUCACAGAAUUACAUGUAGCAUUUAUGACAUCAUGGUGAUACAUUGCACUGCCAGUACAGAUGUCUACCCAAUUAUCUUUGGUGAACCUCAACGUGAACAUUUCCUCUGUCUUUUCUCUGAAAUCUGGCACUAGCAUCCUCCCAGUUGUACAAGUUUAAAAAUUUGGAGUCAUUUUUAAGCUUCUUCCUUCUUUACCUGAUCCAUCCAAUUAGUUGAUGAGUCAUGUUCAAAACCAUAUUCAUUAUGCUGUCUCAUAUGAAAAUUUGUUUUAUUAAAACAUAAAGAUCAUUACUAUUGCCCAGAACUCAAAGACAGAAUGAUAGAAAGAUAGAAGACAGUCACCUAUUUUUUUAAGGGAAGAGGAGGAAAAAAUGGUAAUGUUGAGAAAGGAAAAGACUUAAAGGAGGCCAACCUCUAUUGAAUAUGCUCCCAGCUUUCAUGGCAGCUAGAGUGUCUGAUCUACUUGGAAAACUCUUGGCUGGGCAGCCCUAAAAUUCCCUGGCCUAAUCAUUUCUUUUUGCAUUCCACUCAUGACCUCAAUCAUCUUCUAGAAAGGAAAUGCUGCCCUUUUGGUUUAUUAAACAGAAUUUUGCACCCUACCAACAUUGUUAUCUAUAUGGAUUAUAUAAGCCUUUAAUUUUAUUCUUUUAUUCUCUUCUCCAA